GAGAGAAGCGUCUCCUUUAUUCCACACAGCUACUCUAUCUGUUUCAGUGAGGAGAAAGGACAGACAAACGCAGCCUGAUUUUUUUUCUCCCAAUCUAUUCGACUGGAGAAGCAGGACAAAAAAAAAAGAAACCCGACCUACCUACCUAGCUCCUCUUUGUGUUAUCUUUCAUGAUGUUUGCCAGCUUAAGAAAAACCAAUAGCCCUCAGCCAAUGGCUUACCAGCGCACAGAGCACUGCAGGAGCAGACAACCUGCCAACAGCUGGGAUUUACAGUCAAAACUUCAUGCAUACAAUUACGCAGAUGAAGGAGGGACAAGUGGACAAUAGCAAUGCAGCGUUGAGGGGAAACACUCAUCUAGGCAAUCAUGCAAAGCCCUCUACUUAGUUAGUGAAACAGGAAAGAGGGAGAGUGAAAGAGAGAGACUGACUUCAGCAGUUCGAGCUUCGGCGUCAAAACAGAAAACACCUUCCCGCGUGAAUGCUGGGACAUAAAAGAUGAAGCAACAUAUCGGAAAGGAACUGAACCAGGACCAGAAACAUCCCAUUGAAAUAUCUAUCUCUAGAUUAUGGCCAAACGUGAGUGCCUGCUGUCAUAAAGCUUCAACAUGGGAUAACAAUAUCGAUAUCAAAUCAGGAGAUAAGCAUAUCAUCCCAGCCUCACUGUUACCCUGGCUCAGUGCAGCUAUAUGAGGCGGUAUCGGACCGAUAUCCUCCAACCCUCAAUACAAAUCUACACAGUUGAAGAUUGUUGUAUUUGUUGGAUUGUUUGUUAUAUUAACUUGUCAUCUGCUGGAUGAAAUAAAGAAAUUCUACUCCACACAGUGUUGAAUAUGUGGUGUAAACUUUGCCGCAAUAACUUUUAAUGAAGUAAAAGUCUUCAUUUCCAAUUAGCUGAAACAAAAGGGCGAUGCACUUAUUCGGUUUACUGGUGGUAUUUAUGGAAGUACAGCUGCUGACCUGUGAACGGUGACAACCAGGGAUAUCAGCAGGCUAAAGGGGUCAAACGCAGGUGGAGCGUGUGUUCAUUAUCUUGUGAAAAACACAGAGUUUCUGUGUGAAACUGCUGCG
rnacentral:lncRNA from 1 species